GCAGAUUUCAGCACUUCAGCAGUUGUUGCUACAUGGAUAAACCUCAGUGCAAUACUCAUGAAACCAGCUUUGAUUUGCAGGAUCUGCAAACAUUAAUAUUGUCUGAAAGAAACAUGGCAAAGGUAACAAGAAGGGAAAAUACUGCUUCCACAAUCAACCUUGAAGAACUGUGGACAUCACUUGGUUUACUUGUGACAGUUGGAAAUGCAUAGGUGUUUUCAUGAGACUGGCUUUCCCUCAGGAGACGGUGUCCUGCUGUUGUUUGUCCCAGCUCCUUGUCGGGAUUUCUCUAAAAGGAACUUGGUCAAUAUCAUGGAUAACAUUGGUGUUGAUGGAAGUCUGUUUCAAAGCAAAUGUUCUACAGAUUUGCUGGAGUUCAAAAUUAAUG